rnacentral:misc_RNA from 1 species
AAUAAAACGAUUCUCACCCUUUAUGGGGUCAGACCUUAUUGGUACCCUAAACUCUUGUUUGAAAGCUUUCAAACCCCCCUCUGGGGAAAGAUUGUUGAAUAGGAUACUGCUCUUGGGAAAUUCAUCCUUAGGGAAGGCGGUUAAAAAGAAAAAAAAGCGAGCUGGAAGGCGUGAGAAGCAACCUUUGAGUUUGGGCCUCUGCCUGGAAGAAAUCCAAAGCAUCCUGAAAAAAGCAUAGGUAAUAGAGAAUGAUUACCCUUUCUAUGCCGUUCGUUAUGCCUCUAACCGGCCUAUAGGAACCAAGGUUUGACUCGAAGUUUUGCCUGUCCUCGCCUUAGACUACAUCUAUCUAUCCUACCUA